rnacentral:rRNA from 1 species
GUAGCAUAAUCGUUUGUCCUCUAAUUGUGGGCUGGRAUGANGGAGUUGACGAUGCUUUGUCUUUUUUAGCUAAUAAAUGGAAGUUGAUAUUUGCACUAAAAAGUGCAACUUUUUAGGGGGACGAUAAGACCCUAUAAAACUUUAAUUUAUCUUGUCUUAUUAUAUUUAAGGUAAAAUAAGGCUCUUGAAUUAAGCUGGGGCGGCAACUAAUAGACACUAGAAGGGGUAACAUAUCUAGUGGGGUUAAAGAUCUUAAAGAGAAGUAGAACAAGUUACUUUAGGGAUAACAGCACAAUUUUUUUAUAUAGAACGCAUAGAAUAAAAAGACUUGUGACCUCGAUGUUGAAUUUGGGGGGCCCUAUUAAAGCAGAAAUUAUUGAGGGGGGUCUGUUCGACCUUUAUUUCCCCA